GCAGAAGAUGCAUCUAAAUGUCACAAAAAAAAAUGAAGUAGUUAUGCUGCCAGUACGGUAACUGAUAUGUCAUAUCCUACACAGACCAAAGAAAAUAACUGAAACAAAAAUCUCUACAACACACCUAUUUAUAAGUAACCCCAAUGACUUUAUUAUCUUCCCUUUUCAAAAAAUACUGCACUCUUCUGCACCAUGUAAACGUCUAGAUUUGAGGCAAUAAAUAUAGCUGGUUACCAAGAAAUUAUUGUUUUGAAGUACCCCAAACAUCUUUUUACACUACAUAUUACAUAACCCUCUACUUUUUUUAAACUAUUUUCUAAAUGGAUUUGUAAUCCAUGCAAUUACCAAAAAGACAUGAUGGCACUUUUGGUCAACUGAAUAAAAAUUCCAUACCAAAUGGCAACCCUCUAGCUCAUCAUGUAAAAGACCAACACCCCACAAUGAAAGCACUCUUGAAUUUAACUAGCAUUACUAUUCACACAUUGCUCAAAAUAUUAUACAGAUAUGCAUGAUUAUUAAGUGCUUAAACUCUUUAAGGAGGCA
rnacentral:misc_RNA from 1 species